rnacentral:rRNA from 1 species
GAUGAACGCUGGCGGCGUGCCUAAUACAUGCAAGUCGAGCGAACAGACGAGGAGCUUGCUCCUCUGACGUUAGCGGCGGACGGGUGAGUAACACGUGGAUAACCUACCUAUAAGACUGGGAUAACUUCGGGAAACCGGAGCUACUACCGGAUAAUAUAUUGAACCGCAUGGUUCAAUAGUGAAAGACGGUUUUGCUGACACUUAUAGAUGGAUCCGCGCCGCAUUAGCUAGUUGGUAAGGUAACGGCUUACCAAGGCAACGAUGCGUAGCCGACCUGAGAGGGUGAUCGGCCACACUGGAACUGAGACACGGUCCAGACUCCUACGGGAGGCAGCAGUAGGGAAUCUUCCGCAAUGGGCGAAAGCCUGACGGAGCGACGCCGCGUGAGUGAUGAAGGUCUUCGGAUCGUAAAACUCUGUUAUUAGGGAAGAACAAAUGUGUAAGUAACUAUGCACGUCUUGACGGUACCUAAACAGAAAGCCACGGCUAACUACGUG